UUGCUCCUGGGUUUGAUCCCCAGUACCUAACUUUUAAAAAGAGGUUUAUUUUGUCUGCAGGUGGAAAAGUGCAAGCCCAGGACUGCCCUGACAAGGACCCCUGUGCGUUAUCUCAAGGUUCGCUCCAACGUGAGACAAGAGGGCCGGGCUUCCAGACCCCGACAAGAGCAGACCCUGGCAUCUACAGAGCCUACAUGCUGUGGUUUGCAAACGGCUCACCCCACAACGUUGGUGAGGUGCAGUGAGCCCUUUAAGAGGAGGAGACCAGUGGGAGGUGCCCGGGCUAUGGGGCGUGUCUUUGGAGGGGCGUGUCUUUGGAGGGGCAUGUCUUCAGGAGGGAGCAAAGUGGCUGUCCUGGGACCCCAUUUGUUCUCCUGAAAGCAGGUGCUGUGAACGCAAGCUGAGCCCUAGGUUGCUCUCUGGCUUCCUGCCCAGCUCCACGUUGCCUUCUCUCACGCACACCUGCUGUUGUGACAAUUAGUCCUGAUGAUCACCUUUUCUAAAGAUCACUCUGGCUGCGUCUGGGUGGACCACAGGGGAUGAUCUGGGGGACUUUGUCUGGUCCCUGGUCCCUUCCUCUGUUCCUUUCCUGCUCUGCUUUCGGACAUCAUGCGAUGGGGAGCUCCUCCCCACCACACCCUCCACCAUGACACUUCUGCCUUGGAGCCCUCUGCCAGGGACUGAACCCAACCUUCUCCUUCAGGUCGUGGGCGUUAGGGUUUUUUUUCCCAGCAACUGAAAGGUAACUGGUACAGAAUGCCACCCACCAAGGUUGCCCUCAGAGUGACACUGAGACUGGUACUACCCCUCGAUCCUCCGGAAUGGCACGUUCAAUAAAUGUCUUUUUCCAUAACACUACUUGUCUGC
rnacentral:lncRNA from 1 species